rnacentral:lncRNA from 1 species
ACAAUUAAGGAAGUUCUUUGCAUCUAACAAUAAUCUAAUUUUAAAAGUGGGGAUAAUACAUAAAAUCCUCCCCGACCUAUGACCAUAUUACCAAUUACACACCUUUUUUUUUGGGGGGUCCUAUUACCCCUCUAAACUAUUUUAAAGUAAAAUUAUUUACCUUUUAAAAAGCUACAACCAGAUACAUGCAAAGUGGUGAAAUACACGCGCCUAAAAUGUGUAUUUCUUAUUUAAAAACUUUUUUUUACUUUUUUCUCCUUAUUCCUCAUUUUCCUAUUUGCAGACUUUCAUUACCAUAUCCUGCCAACAUAUGAGCUAACUAUUAAAUUUCUUAAAGCAUUCUUUUUUCUCUUUCCUAAUUUCUCAAUCAUUUUUCAUUUCAAUGGCCAGAACUUAUUAGACGCUAGAUGUCCCUUCUGAUCUCUUUUUUUAUCACGACUUGCCGUAUACGACGAGAUCUUUAUUUUCUGGUGAACUAAAUUUUUGAUGGGUUUUAUAUAAUACUUGUUUGAUAUGUCAGAUCUGGCUGGAGAACAAAACUCUGACGAAGACCCUGCUCCGGUGAAACUCCAUUGUUGUUGACCGUUUUGACUGUUCGUAGGUUUUUACUGAAUCAUGCUCGUUGCUCCAUCUAGUUGUAGCUCUGUUUCUGUUAUUAAACAUAUCUACUUUUGAUUUUUGGUUGAUUUUGCGUUAUAUUGGAUUUUCACUCCGGCAUUUCGCCGUUGAAACGAUGUCCCUCUUAUUUGUGCGAGAAGAGUUUUAGAAGACGAAGGAGACUAAUUAAUUAUGUAAUGUCCAAUUAAAAUACGACACUUGUACCUGUUAAUCAAUUUUAAAAUUAUUUUUGUAACUUCCAAUUGCCCUUAAGAGAGUGUGCAUACUCUCUAUGCCACAUCAGCACUUAGGGGGGUGUUUAUUACACUUUAAAAUAGUUCAGGGGGUAAUAGGACCCUCCUCCCCCCCC